UCUCUUGUAGCGUAGUGGUGAGCGCGUUGGUGAGUAAUGCCAGAGGUCCCGAGUUCGAUUCCCGGCAAGGGUG
rnacentral:tRNA from 1 species